UACGUAGGGUGCAAGCGUUGUCCGGAAUUAUUGGGCGUAAAGAGCUCGUAGGCGGUUCGUCGCGUCGGCUGUGAAAUCCCGAGGCUCAACCUCGGGUCUGCAGUCGAUACGGGCGGACUGGAGUUCGGCAGGGGAGACUGGAAUUCCUGGUGUAGCGGUGAAAUGCGCAGAUAUCAGGAGGAACACCGGUGGCGAAGGCGGGUCUCUGGGCAGUAACUGACGCUGAGAAGCGAAAGCGUGGGUAGCGAACAGG
rnacentral:rRNA from 1 species